UACGGAGGGGACUAGCGUUGUUCGGAAUUACUGGGCGUAAAGCGCACGUAGGCGGAUUUGUAAGUCAGGGGUGAAAUCCCGGGGCUCAACCUCGGAACUGCCUUUGAUACUGCAAAUCUCGAGUCCGGAAGAGGUGAGUGGAAUUCCCGGUGUAGCGGUGAAAUGCGCAGAUAUCGGGAGGAACACCAAUGGCGAAGGCAGCUCGCUGGGACGGUACUGACGCUGAGACGCGAAAAGCGUGGGGAGCAAACAGGG
rnacentral:rRNA from 1 species